CCUAAACAUUAUUUCAUAUAAGAAAUAAUUCAGCUUUCAACAGUCAGCAGUCUGUGAAGCAAGGAGAAUGACUCCUGGCUGUUUUAUGGUUUAAAGCAUGACUGAAUACACUAACAGGGCUCCAUGAAGUACUCAUUUCAAUACGUAUAAUAUAUUUUUAAAAUAUUUAAACUCCAUAUAGAUCUCAUCCUUUAAAUAACUAAGAAGAGCACUUCUACUGCACUUAAGAAGUAGAGGCAGUAAAACCACAGAAUACUAGAAUACCAUCAGUGAUAUGAAUGUUAAAAUUUGAUUCUCUGGUAAAUAACGUGUGUGAUUAUUUGUGCAAUUUCAGCUGUUCUUUAUUUCAGCUUCUCUAUCUGUAAAGUAGGCAUAGUUGUAACUUGCAGAGUAUUUUGAGAUUUAUAGUUACAAAAUAUCAGUGUAAUAAUUAUAGAAAGAACGAUCUAUUCCUAAAUCUUUUAACUCAGUUCUAAAUAUCAAUCCAUAACAUUUACAUUGUGGCAAUCAUGGUAAAGACUUUAUGUCUGAUUAAUAACUUUUGUAAGGUUAGCUUAUUUUUGAUGUUUGUUUGCAGGUUCUUCUGGGUAAAUAUACAGGGGCAUCACAAGUGAUAUUUAAAUCUCACCACGGCAACAGACUUCUCUAUGCUCUACCAGUAACAUAUCUGCAGAACUGCCAGAUGGGGAGAGAAACUGCAGUGAGAAAAUAAUGAUCAGGCAAAUGGGGCAAAGAUAGAAUGGGGAGAAUGAGGAAGCAAUCCUGGUAGUUGUAAGCGCUCUCUAAGUUUCAAGAUUCUCCUCUGGCUGUUGAGAAGUCCUCAGGAAGAAAAACGCAAGAGGUGCCCCUUCCUUCCCUCGUGGGGUUGGCCAGAUUCAAUGUGUUACAAACAAACAUAUUCCACCUGUUACAACAAUCUGGCAUAUUACUUUCUUGAUACGUGAUGAUACAAUACCUCUCAGGUUUGCCGAGUAGCAAAGAGAA